UACGGAGGGUGCGAGCGUUGUCCGGAAUCACUGGGCGUAAAGGGCGCGUAGGCGGCUCGGUAAGCGUGUGGUGAAAGCCUGGGGCUCAACCCCGGGUCGGCCAUGCGAACUGUCGAGCUGGAGCACUGUAGAGGCAGGCGGAAUUCCGGGUGUAGCGGUGGAAUGCGUAGAGAUCCGGAAGAACACCGGUGGCGAAGGCGGCCUGCUGGGCAGUAGCUGACGCUGAGGCGCGAAAGCGUGGGGAGCAAACAGG
rnacentral:rRNA from 1 species